CGCUAUACUAACCUCUGAAAUUGCCGGCCCAUCUCCUUCGGGCCGGUUUUCAAUGUGU
rnacentral:sRNA from 1 species